AUGACAGGUGGGGACCACACGUCAGCAUCACCUCCUUCUUCCUCCUCAUCUCUCUCUCUCUUUGGAAUUUUAGCGAACACCUCAUGUGCACCUUUGCCGCGGUGGAAGAUCUGCCGGACCUCCCUCUCUCCGUCGACGAGCUCCUCGGCCCCGUCGCCCCUUGCCACCUCUCCUUUCCCUUCCUCCCUGCCUUCGCUUCUCACGCGAGCGAGCUCCCCCUGCCAUGGCGCCUCGGCCUCUGCUCCGUGCACCGCCUGCCAUGGUCGGCCCCAAGCGCCUCCUCCCUGCCUCGCCUGCAGUCCUCCUGCAUCUCCUCCGCAACCCCUGCCUCGCCACGUACUUAUUGAUACACAUCAUUGA
rnacentral:rRNA from 1 species